ensembl:lncRNA
GGCAAUUCCAGCGUCUGACGGGAAGUGUCAUAAAAAAGCGAAUGCGUUGCAGAGCCCAGCAAGGGGCAGACCUUGGAAGGCUCUCAGGAGGAAGCACCCUCUCUCAUGUUAGCUCUCAGCAGUCCACAGCAAGAUAUAACUGCAAAGUUCACUAAGGCUUGUGCAUAGGACCUGAGGGGAGGUGUUCAAAAGGCCCUUGAGGAGUUUUAAGCCAGGAACUGACAUGACCUAAAUUCAGUUCCCAGCAGAAUAAUUGUGUGCUAGCAUGCACUGAGUUAUUAAUGUGUCCUCUACAUGAAUUAUAUUUAUCUUCAACUUGGGCUGUUUUAACAGAAUACUAUAGGCUGAGAAGGUUAAACAACAGAAAUUCAUUUUUCACAGCUCUGUAGGAAGUCUGGGCAAGUCAAAGAUCAUGGCACUGACCAAUUCUGUUCCUGGUAAGAGCACUCUUCCUGGUUUACAGAGGGACCCUGUCCUGCUGCAUCCUCAUGAGGCUGGGUGGGAGGGUGCGGGGCAAGUUCCCUGGUCUCUUCCUAUAGCAGAGACCAUCAUGGGGCUCCACCCUCACAACCUCAUCUAAACCUAAUUGUCUCCUAAAGGUCCACUUCCAGGUAGCAUCACAUGGAAAGUUAGGGCUUCAAAGUAUGAACUUGGGGUUACACAACAUGCAGUCCAGAACAAUAUUCACUGCAUGCUCACCCGAGAACUACGAAGUUGGUUUUACUGUCCCAUUUUAUAGGUGAGCUACUGAGGCAUAAAGUGGUGAAGCCAGGAUUUGAGCCCAGGCAGUCUGACUGCAGCACCUGCGCUCUCAUUUCUCCUCUACACCCCAUACCGCACAGCGCAACGUCACACAGAGUAUCUUGCAAAUAUUUGAGACAUGUGGUAGCUACUUCUUCAGUUUUCCUUGGUCCAAGAGCUCUUAGCCCAGCUUCCCACUGGAAUGACCUGAAGUUUCACAAAAAUGUAUCCCAAAGAAAUAAAAACGUAUAUCCUCCAAAACCCUGUACAUGAAUGUUUAUAGAAGCCUUGUUUGUGAUCAUCAAAAAUGGAAAAUAAUCAAGAAGUGAGUGGGUAAACCGUGUCACAGCCAUGCAAUGCAACAGUGCUCAGCAGGAAAAAGGAACACACUAUUGAUACAUGCCGCCUCUCGAAUGGCUCCCACUCAAAGGCAUUAUGUCAAGUAAACAGCCCAUCUCAGAAGGUUACAUACUGUAUGAUUCCAUUUAUAUAACAUUCUCAGAAAGACACAGUUAGGUGAAGAACAUAUAAGUGAUUCCCAGGGUUGGUUAGCGAGGGGCAGCAGCUAGGUGUGGCUGUGAAGGGUAGCAGGAAGGAGGCCCGCGGAGCUGAAAUGGUUCUGUAUCAUGAGUGCUGUUGGGGUCACACUAAUCUACAUAUGUGAUCAAAUGACAUAGAACUACUCGUACGCAUUGGACUGGUGUCCGUUUUCUGGUCUUAUGUGUUAUACUUAGGUAAUAGCUGGAUGGAGGGUACAUGGGGCAUCUCUGCACUGUUUUGGCAAUGUCUUAUGAAGCUGUAAUUAUUUUUAAAUAAAACAUUUCUUUAAAAUUCCAA